rnacentral:rRNA from 1 species
UACGGGGGGUGCAAGCGUUGUUCGGAAUUACUGGGCGUAAAGGGCUCGUAGGCGGCCAACUAAGUCAGAUGUGAAAUCCCCAGGCUUAACCUGGGAACUGCGUCUGAUACUGGAUGGCUUGAAUUCGGGAGAGGGAUGCAGAAUUCCAGGUGUAGCGGUGAAAUGCGUAGAUAUCUGGAGGAAUACCGGUGGCGAAGGCGGCAUCCUGGACCGAGAUUGACGCUGAUGAGCGAAAGCUAGGGGAGCAAACGGG